rnacentral:lncRNA from 10 species
CGUUACCCAGAGAGCUGCACGCAGCCGUGACAGGAGGAAAGAGGACUGCAAGCAGGACUGUUUCAGGGAGUGGGGCGUGGCGGGGUGGAGCACAGUUCAGAUUGCAGGCAACUGAGUCACAAAUAAGAGAAGCUGGAGGUGUAGACCAGAGCGUAGACUUUUAAGAGGUUCGAACAAAAAGCGGAGGAAAGAUGAUGGGGUGAUGACUCUGGAGGGUUAAGAUCAAGGAAGUCACUCGCCAUCUGUGAGGGAGGCAGCGGAGCCCCAGAGGCACUGGGGAGAGGCAGCUGGGCCUCGAGCUUGUGGUUGCAGAUUGGAGCUGGCCAGGGCAGAGAUGCUGUGCUGAGAUGGAAGCGGUGGCAGCUGAAACCUGGAUAAUUAGAGCCGGCCGAACACCUUUUGACAAGGAUCAUAAAGACUUUUGCAAACAUUAAUUAAUGUCCCCACCCGGUGAAGAAAGAGCAACUUAUUUUCCAAGUGCAUCAAGGGAAGGCCUAGGCAAUAAGGUGGUGGCUUCACUCCCCACCACACCCCGAGUCAGCCUCCCUUCGCUUCUCACAGCCACCCCAAAGCGGCCCGAGUCACCCAGUGAGCCUCUCGGCCUUGAGCUGUGCUGUCCGGCUGCUGCUCCCGUCCGUCUUCCACACUCGGGAGAGAUUUCAGUCCCAGCUUGCCUCUUUGUAGAGACCCUGGGGACAAAUGUAUAGGGUUGGGCUGCUUGUCUCCGUACCCCUUUCCUUUAUUUAUUUAUUUAGAGACAGAGUCUCGCUCUGUUGCCCAGGCUGGAGUGCAAUGGCACGAUCUCGGCUCACUGCAACCUCUGCCUCCCGGGUUCAAGUGAUUCUCGUGUCUCAGCCUCCCGAGUAGCUGGGAUUACAAGUGUACACCAUCAGGCCUGGCUAAUUUUUGUAUUUUUAGUAGAGAUGGGGUUUCACCAUGUUGGCCAGGCUGGUCUCGAACUCCUGACCUCAGGUGAUCCACCCACCUCGGCCCCACAAAGUGCUGGGAUUACAGGCGUGCGCCAUCGCGCCCGGCCCCCUUUCCUUUUAUUUGUUUCCUUCUGCAGUCACUGGUGGAGAAUUUACCCCAUCCACUCACCUGGGUGCUGGAAACGGUGAGGG